rnacentral:rRNA from 1 species
UGCGUAGGUGGCUAUUCAAGUUGGUGGUGAAAUCCCGGGGCUCAACCUCGGUGCUACCACCAAUACUGUUUAGCUUGAGUACGGGAGAGGUAACUGGAAUUCCUAGUGUAGCGGUGGAAUGCGUAGAUAUUAGGAGGAACACCAGAGGCGAAGGCGAGUUACUGGACCGCAACUGACACUGAGGCACGAAAGCGUGGGGAGCAAACA